CUAACCUGCACAUUGUGCACAUGUACCCUAAAACUUAAAGUAUAAUAAUAAUAAAAUAAAAAAUAAUAAAAAAAAAUGAAAAUGACAUGAAAUGUGAAAUUUCAAAAAUAAAAAUAAAUGUGAUAUAAAUACAAAAAAAAAAGAAUUUCCAACCUAGAAUUUCAUAUCUGGCCAAAGUAAAUUUCAUAAGUGAAAGGGAAAUUUUUUUUUCAGACAAGCAAAUGCUGAGGGAAUUCAUCACCACCAGACCUGCCUUGCAAGAGCUCCUGAAGGCAGCACUGAAUAUGGAAAAGAAAAACUGUUACCAGCCACUACAAAAAACACACUGAAAUAUACAGACCAGUGACACUAUGGGGCAAAUACAUAAACAAGUCUGCAAAAUAACCAACUAGCAUCACGAUGUCAAGAUCAAAUUUACACAUAACAAUGUUAACCUUAGAUGUAAAUGAACUAAAUGCCCCAAUUAAAAGACAUAGAGUGGCAAACUGGAUAAAGAGUCAAAGUCCAUCAGUGUGCUGUAUUCAAGAGACCCAUCUCACAUGCAAAGACACACAUAGACUCAAAAUAAAAGGAUUGAGGAAAAUUUAGCAAGCAAAUGAAAAACAGAAAAAAGCAGGAGUUGCAAUUUUAGUUUCUUACAAAAUGGACUUAAAAGCAACAAAAUAGACUUAAAAGCAACAAAGAUCAAAAAAGACAAAGGCAUUAUAUAUUGGUAAAAGGGUCAAUUCAACAAGAAGAGCUAACUAUACUUAAUAUAUAUGCACCCAAGACAGGAGCACCCAGAUUCAUAAAACAAGUCCUUAGAGACCUACAAAAGACUUAGACUCCCACACGAUAAUACUGGGAGACUUUAACACCCCACUGUCAAUAUGAGACAGAUCAUCGAGACAGAAAAUAUAACAAAGAUAUUCAGGACUUGAACUCAGCUCUGG
rnacentral:lncRNA from 1 species